GACAGAGGGUGCAAACGUUGUUCGGAUUUACUGGGCGUAAAGCGUGUGUAGGCGGCUUGGCAAGUUGGAUGUGAAAGCCCACGGCUCAACCGUGGAAGCGCAUCCAAAACUGCUUCGCUCGAGUCUCGGAGAGGAAGGUGGAAUGCUUGGUGUAGAGGUGAAAUUCGUAGAUAUCAAGCAGAACACCUGCGGCGAAGGCGGCCUUCUGGACGGAUGACUGACGCUGAGACACGAAAGCGUGGGGAGCGAACAGG
rnacentral:rRNA from 1 species